GUGAGCUCAGUGCUACCCUCAGCCCCUUCUGCUCGGUCUGCGUGUGUUCCCAUUAGGGGCGAAACACAGCACAGUCUGCACUGAGAUUUCUGCUGGGGGGUUUAAGAAGGCAGAAAAUACAUCAGUGAGGAAUAUAUAUACAUAUAUAUAUAUGUAUGUGUGUGUAUGCAUAUAUAUACACACGUAUAAAUGCAUAGGACAGCUGCUUUAGUUGAUGGGAACUAUGUGAAAAGUGCUGGGAUUUCCUAAGCCCUUCCCUAAGGGCUGUGCAUGUAAUACAGUGAAGAAAGAUUGUAUAUUUAAAGGGGGUCAAAAGGAGAGGCAGCCAGGAGAGCUUGGGAGAAAAACAGGCUGCUCCUGGAGUGUUUGGGGUGGGUGUUUGGGCUGUAGGGACGUUUCCAUGAGGUCUGGCUGGGGUCUGUUAGUGUUGGAGCAUCGACCCUCCAUGGUCUGUGAGGCGCCAGAGGGUGCUCGUGCACCGCAGUGCAGAGCUGUCCUCUUCCUCAGCCAUUUUAGACCAAAUGUUUUCCUCUCCUGCAGUCUCCAUUUUAUGUUUCCAGUGCAGAAAAUAGAACAGGGAUUACUGGGGGAGGAAGCGAAGGGGGGGAGAGGUGCCAAGGCAAAGCCCAGCGCUGGGGGAGGGCGGGUAUGGGACGGUGUGAGGGGCUCCCUUGGGAGGAUGCUGGAAGUGGGCUCUGCAGGGAUGCUCUGCUUUAUCCCCCUGCCAGCCCCGAGCCCUCCCCGUGCUGCUUCAGAGUGUGGCAUCACUUUUUGGCCCUCAUCUCUGCACCCAGCUGGGCGCAUCACCGCAGGCCCUAUGGGAUCUGCAGGGCUGCUCCUGCCUGCCUUCCCUCUUUCCUUGCUGAGGAUGCUGAGUUCUGUUCUCGUCCCGUUUCCUCCCUGCCCACGCGUGCUGGGUGGGAUGUUGUCCCAGGUUUGUUACCAGCACGUCACCUUUCCCAGCUGCACGGAAAGCCCCGCGAGAACCUCCAGCAUGCAAUAGCUGAGUGCUUGUUGGCAUGGCCUCUAUUUCUAGGAACUGCCCUUUAUCAUCACUGUGCAGCACAGGGGGGGCCAGGCAGGCAUUUCUCAAUCCGGGAUAUGAAGCAAACUCUGCAUUCAUUUCCAGAAGGGAAUAUCAUGGAGCAGACCCAAAGGGCAGCUCCUAACCCCUGGGCUACGUGUGCAGCAAUGGCAGCUGGUGUCGCAGUGUCCAGCUGACCCCACAGCAGCCGUGCACAAAGAGGCUUCUCAGGAAGAUGAUAAACAUCCUAAGAACCGCUGUGGCUUCUGGAGACGCUCACAUCAGUGUCUUUUCCUUUAAACAUCCUGAGCUGAAGGGCCCUUUGCCUCUGAUGUCAUUCGUGCCCACACAGCCGAAAAUAGGUCAGUGGCUGUGAGCUGGCAGCGCCUUGCUGUCUGCUGGGGAGCAUCCCUGGGAGGAGGCGGGGGCUCCCAUGUGGCUCUGGGGGUGCUGGGGCUCCUUGCAGGAUGUGUGGAGGGCAGAGCACCUGUGGAACCCAACCCCAUGUCUGUCCAAAUACUCCCUGUGCUCCUGGAGUUCAGGACUGUGCCCACUGCCCUGGGGAGCCUUUCCAUGCCCAUCAUCCCCUGGUGCAGACCACCGUGACCCUCCCCACCUCGUUCCCCGCAGAUAUAGGAUCAGAUCCCUCUCUGUUCCUCCUUGUGUGGUGUUCCUGGGGGUGGCCUGAGUGACCCAGGCUGUGGGCAAACUGUGAUGGAAUUGGGCAGCACUGAGCCUGCAAACUGAACCCCUGGAAUGCUUCCACCCUUACCUCAGGCACUGCUGCACCGAGCCUUUGUCACUCUGUCCCACCAAGGGUGAUGUGCAGCUGGAUUUUGUCACCUUAGUCUGAGCUCUCUGCUUGACUUUAAGGUGAUAGCUGCCUUCAGUGGGGUUAUGGUGCUCUGUGGGAGUGUCAGGAUGAUGCCAGCAAGCACCAGGGAGAUGCUUUCUGGCCUCUAGUUGCUUUCUGGCCUCUCCCCACCCCAGUUUAAAAGCACUUUGUUGCACGGAGCAGCCAAAGCUUUCUUCCUGAUUGCUGGCACUGUUCUGCUCAGCCAUUGCACAAGGAAAAGCUGGAGGCUGCUGAGGGAUGUGCUCAUGCAGCAGCGUUUACCUGAGGCCUCAGCAUUCAGAGAGAACAAAGACCAGGAGGGUGGAGAGGAGGAUCAGCCCCUUCCCCUAACAGCAAAGUUGUGUUUGUUGCUGUUCUGUUCUCCACACGGUGUCCCACUCCACCUCUCCCUGCAUCCUCUGUGCUUUCCGGCACUGCAUAAAGGCUGAUGGAUGGCCCAGGCUGAGUGCAUGCAACUUUGUGCCGGGGUCCUGGUGCUGCUGGCAGACAUCCACGCUCAAAGUACACUGUUUUGAGGAGCAACAAAAAAGAGAUAAGAGGAACAUUAUCCCCAGCGUCCAUGUGCUGCCCAUCACUGGGCAGUGUUUGUUAUUUUGAGUGCCUUUGGUCUCCCUGUGUUAUCUAUGGAGCAAUGUGGGCCAUGCGUUGGGAUGGGAGCUAUGGGAGCUGCCCUCACUGAUCCACUGUGGGGCUGUACGGCCCCAGGGAGAGGCUCUGAGGUUCAUGGCACAGCUCUGCCUGGGCAGAAGCAGCUCUUUUUCCUCCUCUUAGUCAAUACCCAACGUAUCACCUUAGUUCCCAAACAGGCUGCCUCUGGUCCUGCAGAGGAGGAAGCUGUAUGCUCUCCCCUGGGUACAGGGCAAGUCAAGGUGAGCCCAUGUGGGCCUGGAUGCAUUUAAAGACCUAAGCAAUGUGAAAAGUCCCGAUUUAGUAAGGACAAGCUUCUGUAAAGUGCUCACUUGGGCUCACCCCUGCCCCUUAACUGUAAUGGGUAAAUGAUGGACAAGUUGCUGGGAGCUCCCACCUUGCCACCCCCAAGCAGGCCGAGAGGACCAGGGGAGCUUUGGGCUGUGUCUGCAUAGGAAAAAAUUGGAUACUUGAAAUGCAAAAGAAUCUGCCCUGUAAAACUCCAGGAGGAUAAGUCAUGCUUUCCUGCCACAUGUAACGCCAAAAAUAAAACAGGGCUGGUUGUGCAAUGCCUGUAGUUACAGCAGAUCACGGGGCUGUUUUUCCUUUCUGCACUGCAAGAACUCUUCCAGCCGUAGAUCGAAGGGCCUCCUCUAACAAAACCCUCGCUUUUUUUCCCAGCCCUGCUGGAUGCGGGCAGCCACAGGAGGAUGGGCUGCUGGGGGUUAAGGCUGUGACCUGAAUGAGAGCACUGCUGUGUCUCACAGACAGUGGAGUGGAAAUAAAUCUGACCUUGUUACCAAUGCCAGAGCCUUUUGUAAUGCUGGAGUAGUACGGAAGGAUGAGGUGCCUCAGGCGUGCUCAGCUCUGUGCUGUUGAUUUGGGGUGUGGGGUAUUUGUUUGUUCCUAAACUCAUUGAUCGGAUCGGCGUUCUCAUAGCUGGGAUGUCAGGCCUUUUCCCCUGAAUCCCCAGCAGCCAAUAAAUAAUUCUGCUAUCCCUCGGCCUUCCUGUGCUGUCAGCUCUGAGCGUCCCAGUGCCUGCUCUGUGCCCCUCUUGGCCAUGGCAGUGAGCAUUAUUUGCUCUGAGGCCAUUUCCUUUAGCCAAGGAUGAGAUCUGAAUGCAGAGCCCUGGAGGCACAGUGCAGCUGUUUACAGAACCCUUCUGCUCACUGUCACGAGUUGGGAAGCAGCACGAGUAACAAGCAGUUAUUUGUCUGCCACGUGGGAGCUGGGAGUCCAAAAAGCAGAGGGCUGCUGGGCUGCUCCCCCUGGGCAGCAUCUCUCAUCUGUACUUACGUGUUUCUGCAUUGCUCUCCUGCUGAUCCCUGUGCUCAGAUCAGCAGGAAUCUCGAUCCUGCCUUGUCUGAAGCCUGCAGGACCACAGGCACUGCUUUAAUGCUUUGUGUUUGACCUCACAGCGGUGCAAAGGGAGGGAUGUGAGGCUGCCCGUGCUCAUCCUAUGCCUACAGAGUCAUCUGCUUCUUCUCCACCCUGGGUGUAAUUUUGGCUUGGUAGAGAGGGCUGUGGCCACCAACCAGCCCUGAUGUAC
ensembl:lncRNA